GUGUCAGCCGCCGCGGUAAUACGGAGGAUGCAAGCGUUAUCCGGAAUUAUUGGGCGUAAAGCGUCCGCAGGUGGUUGGUCAAGUCUGCUGUCAAAGCGUGGAGCUUAACUCCAUAAGGGCGGUGGAAACUGAUUAACUAGAGGAUGGUAGGGGUCACGGGAAUUCCCAGUGUAGCGGUGAAAUGCGUAGAUAUUGGGAAGAACACCAGCGGCGAAAGCGUGUGACUGGGCCAUUACUGACACUCAUGGACGAAAGCUAGGGGAGCGAAAGGGAUUAGAUACCCCUGUAGUCCUAGCUGUAAACGAUGGACACUAGGUGUUGCCCGUAUCGACCCGGGCAGUGCCGUAGCCAACGCGUUAAGUGUCCCGCCUGGGGAGUACGCACGCAAGUGUGAAACUCAAAUGAAUUGACGGGG
rnacentral:rRNA from 1 species